rnacentral:rRNA from 1 species
UACGGAGGGUGCAAGCGUUGUUCGGAAUCAUUGGGCGUAAAGCGCGUGUAGGCGGCUUGGCAAGUCAGUUGUGAAAGCCCGGGGCCCAACCCCGGAACUGCAUCUGAAACUGCCUGGCUAGAGUCCCGGAGAGGAAGGCAGAAUUCCCGGUGUAGGGGUGAAAUCCGUAGAUAUCGGGAGGAACACCAGAGGCGAAGGCGGGUUACUGGGCUGAUACUGACGCUGAUGCGCGAAAGCCAGGGGAGCAAACGGG